CAAGGUUAGGGUUUCACAAAGC
rnacentral:siRNA from 1 species